GUAAUUUAUAAGGGAAAGAGGUUUUGUUGACUCACAAUUCGGCAUGGCUGAGGAGCCUCAGGAAACUUACAAUCAUGGCGGAAGACAAAUGGGAAGCAGGAC